CACGUAGGACGCAAGCGUUAUCCGGAAUUACUGGGCGUAAAGGGCGUGUAGGCGGCACGGUAAGUCAACCGUGAAAGCUCCCGGCUAAACUGGGAGAGGUCGGAUGAGACUGCCGAGCUAGAGGGUCGUAGAGGGGUGUGGAAUUCCGGGUGUAGUGGUGAAAUGCGUAGAGAUCCGGAGGAACACCAGAGGCGAAGGCGGCACCCUGGAUCGUAACUGACGCUGAGGCGCGAAAGCAUGGGUAGCGAAC
rnacentral:rRNA from 1 species